rnacentral:tRNA from 1 species
GGGCCGGUAGCUCAGUCAGGUUGAGCGCUCGGCUGAUAACCGGGCGGUCCUCGGUUCAAAUCCGAGCCGGCCCA